rnacentral:tRNA from 1 species
GGGGUGGUAGUUAAAUUAAUAAUAAUUGUUUGUCAAACAUUAGUUACCGUUAUAGGUUUACCCUU